GAUGAAGAACGUAGCGAAAUGCGAUACGUAAUGUGAAUUGCAGAAUUCAGUGAAUCAUCGAAUCUUUGAACGCAUAUUGCGCUCUCUGGUAUUCCGGAGAGCAUGCUUGUUUGAGUAUCAGUAAACACCUCAACUUCCAUAUCUUUUUUGAAAUGGUAGUUGGACUUGAGUGAUCCCAACGCUUUUCCUCACCGAAAAGUGGCGGUUUACUUGAAAUGCAGGUGCAGCUGGACUUUUAUCUGAGCUAUAAGCAUAUCUAUUUAGUCUGCCUAAAAAACAGAUUAUUACCUUUGCUGCAGCUAACAUAAAGGAGAUUAGUUCUUGUGCUGACUGAUGCAGGAUUCACAAAGACAGGCUUCGGCCGACUUUGUAAACUCGAUCUCAAAUCAAGUAAGACUACCCGCUGAACUUAAGCAUAUCAAUAAGCGGAGGA
rnacentral:misc_RNA from 1 species